GCAGUCGAACGGCAGCGCGGACUUCGGUCUGGCGGCGAGUGGCGCUUUGGAGAGUAAUGUAUCGGAACGUGCCCUAGAGUGGGUGAUAACGUAGCGAAAGUUACGCUAAUACCGCAUACGAUCUAUGGAUGAAAGUGGGGGACCGCAAGGCCUCACGCUCAUGGAGCGGCCGAUAUCUGAUUAGCUAGUUGGUAGGGUAAAAGCCUACCAAGGCGACGAUCAGUAGCUGGUCUGAGAGGACGACCAGCCACACUGGGACUGAGACACGGCCCAGACUCCUACGGGAGGCAGCAGUGGGGAAUUUUGGACAAUGGGGGAAACCCUGAUCCAGCAAUGCCGCGUGUGUGAAGAAGGCCUUCGGGUUGUAAAGCACUUUUGUCAGGAACGAAACGGUGGGGGCUAAUAUCCUCUGCUAAUGACGGUACCUGAAGAAUAAGCACCGGCUAACUACGUGCCAGCAGCCGCGGUAAUACGUAGGGUGCGAGCGUUAAUCGGAAUUACUGGGCGUAAAGCGUGCGCAGGCGGUUGUGCAAGACAGAUGUGAAAUCCCCGGGCUUAACCUGGGAAUUGCAUUUGUGACUG
rnacentral:rRNA from 1 species